CUACGGGAUGCAGCAGUGAGGAAUAUUGCACAAUGGGGGGAACCCUGAUGCAGCAACGCCGCGUGGAGGAUGACGCAUCUCGGUGUGUAAACUCCUUUUAUAUGUCAAGAAAAUGACGGUAGCAUAUGAAUAAGCACCGGCUAACUCCGUGCCAGCAGCCGCGGUAAUACGGAGGGUGCAAGCGUUACUCGGAAUCACUGGGCGUAAAGGACGCGUAGGCGGGUUGGAAAGUCAGGUGUGAAAUCCUACAGCUUAACUGUAGAACUGCACUUGAAACUUCUAAUCUAGAGUAUGGGAGGGGGAGAUGGAAUUAGUGGUGUAGGGGUAAAAUCCGUAGAUAUCACUAGGAAUACCUAAAGCGAAGGCGAUCUCCUGGAACAUUACUGACGCUAAGGCGUGAAAGCGUGGGGAGCAAACAGGAUUAGACCCCGGUAGUC
rnacentral:rRNA from 1 species